UUAGGUAGUUGGAGAGGUAACGGCUCCCCAAGCCGACGAUCGGUAGCCGGCCUGAGAGGGUGACCGGCCACACUGGGACUGAGACACGGCCCAGACUCCUACGGGAGGCAGCAGUGGGGAAUAUUGCGCAAUGGGCGAAAGCCUGACGCAGCGACGCCGCGUGAGCGACGAAGGCCUUCGGGUCGUAAAGCUCUGUUCUUGGGGACGAAUAAAGUGACGGUACCCAAGGAGCAAGCCCCGGCUAACUACGUGCCAGCAGCCGCGGUAACACGUAGGGGGCAAGCGUUGUCCGGAAUUACUGGGCGUAAAGGGCGUGUAGGCGGUCAUGUAUGUCAGGUGUGAAACUCCUCGGCUCACCCGAGGGACUGCACAUGAAACUGCAUGGCUUGAGUGCAGGAGAGGGGAGUGGAAUUCCUAGUGUAGCGGUGAAAUGCGUAGAUAUUAGGAGGAACACCAGUGGCGAAGGCGACUCCCUGGACUGUAACUGACGCUGAGGCGCGAAAGCGUGGGUAGCAAACAGGAUUAGAUACCCUGGUAGUCCACGCCAUAAACGAUGGGUACUAGGUGUGGGUAGUUCACUCUAUCUGUGCCGCAGCAAAC
rnacentral:rRNA from 1 species